ACCUGGUUGAUCCUGCCAGUAGUCAUACACUUGUCUUAAGAUUAAGCCAUGCAUGUCUAAGUGCUUUGAUGGUUUAACAUUAGACUGCAGACGGCUCAUUACAACAGCUAUUGUAUUAUUGAUAUUAUCUUAUAAGUAGAUACCUAUGGAAAGUCUAGAGCUAAUACAUGACAAAAAAAUAUAUGUAAAUUUAAUUUAUUAUAUUAGGUUCUAAGUUUUAUCAAAUCAAAGUGAUCUCUUCACUAUGGAUGAAUCAUAUUAUUGCUUAAAAAUCGCAACAUACGUGAUAUAUCAUUCAAGUUUCUGACCUAUCAGUUAGUCAGUAGUGUAUUGGACUAUUGAGGCAUUGACGGGUAACAGAGAAUUAGGGUUCUGUUCCGGAGAGGGAGCCUGAGAAACAGCUACUACAUCUAAGGAAGGCAGCAGGCGCGCAAAUUACCCAAUUCUGAUCAAGAGAGGUAGUGACAAGAAAUCACAAUAUUUUGCCUUAGGGUUAAAUAAUUGUAUUGAGAACAAUGUAGAUAUAUUAUCGAUAAACUAUUGGAGGGCAAGUCUGGUGCCAGCAGCCGCGGUAAUUCCAGCUCCAAUGGUGUGUGCUAACAUUGUUGCAGUUAAAAAGCUCGUAGUUAAAUUUUUAAGGGAAUCAAUUAUAUGUGUUCGUUCUGAACUACAAUGAAUGUUGAUUACUCUUAUUUGCUCUUUUUAAGUGUUGGAAUUCAGUUUUUGACAGUUAAUGAAGGGUUUAUUUACUUUGAGAAAAUUUGUGUGUUCUAAGCAGUCGUACGACUGUAUCCUAAAGCAUGGAAUAAUAAGUAAUGACUUUGAUCAAUUUCUGAUGGUUUGAGAGAUUAUUGUAAUGAUUUAUAGAGUUUGUCGGAGGUAUUAGUAUUUUGUCGUUAGAGGUGAAAUUUCUGGGAUCGUUCAAAAGACUAACAACUGUGAAGCAUUACCUAGGAUUUUCUCCUUGAUCAAGAACGUAAGUUUGGGGAUCGAAGACGAUCAGAUACCGUCGUAGUCUCAACUUUAAAUUAUAUCAGCUAGAGGGGUAAAUGUUUAUAUGACUUUGUUAGAACCUUAUGAGAAAUCAAAGCGUUUGGAUUCCGGGGGGAGUAUGGUCGCAAGGCUGAAACUUAAA
rnacentral:rRNA from 1 species